rnacentral:rRNA from 1 species
UACGUAGGGGGCAAGCGUUGUCCGGAAUCAUUGGGCGUAAAGAGCGUGUAGGCGGUCCGGUCAGUCGGUUGUGAAAGUCAAGGGCUCAACCCUUGAAUGCCGGCCGAUACUGCCGGGCUAGAGUCCGGAAGAGGUGAGUGGAAUUCCUGGUGUAGCGGUGAAAUGCGCAGAUAUCAGGAGGAACACCAAUGGCGAAGGCAGCUCGCUGGGACGGUACUGACGCUGAGACGCGAAAGUGUGGGGAGCAAACGGG